rnacentral:siRNA from 1 species
GGCGGAGCGGCCGUCGGUGCA